rnacentral:rRNA from 1 species
UACAGAGGGUGCGAGCGUUAAUCGGAAUUACUGGGCGUAAAGGGCGCGUAGGUGGUUAAUUAAGUUAGAUGUGAAAUCCCUGGGCUUAACCUAGGAAUUGCAUUUAAAACUGAUUGACUAGAGUGCGGUAGAGGGGAGUGGAAUUUCCGGUGUAGCGGUGAAAUGCGUAGAUAUCGGAAGGAACACCAGUGGCGAAGGCGACUCCCUGGCCCGUUACUGACACUGAUGCGCGAAAGCGUGGGGAGCGAACAGG